UGCGGAGUGAAGCGGGAAAAGCUCAAAUUUAAAAUCUGGCGGUCUUUGGCCGUCCGAGUUGUAGUCUGGAGAAGUGCUUUCCGCGCUGGACCGUGUACAAGUCUCUUGGAACAGAGCGUCAUAGAGGGUGAGAAUCCCGUCUUUGACACGGACUACCAGUGCUUUGUGAUGCGCUCUCAAAGAGUCGAGUUGUUUGGGAAUGCAGCUCAAAAUGGGUGGUAAAUUCCAUCUAAAGCUAAAUAUUGGCGAGAGACCGAUAGCGAACAAGUACCGUGAGGGAAAGAUGAAAAGCACUUUGGAAAGAGAGUUAAACAGUACGUGAAAUUGCUGAAAGGGAAACGCUUGAAGUCAGUCGCGUUCGCCAGGACUCAGCCUUGCUUUAGUGAGGUGCAUUUUCUGGUUGACGGGCCAGCAUCGAUUUUGGUUGUCGGAUAAAGGCAGGGGGAAUGUGGCAUCUUCGGAUGUGUUAUAGCCCUCAGUCACAUACGACGGCUGGGAUCGAGGACCGCAGCACGCCUUUAUGGCCGGGGUUCGCCCACGUUCGUGCUUAGGAUGCUGGCAUAAUGGCUUUAAACGACCCGUCUUGAAACACGGACCAAGGAGUCUAACAUGCCUGCGAGUGUUUGGGUGGAAAACCCGAGCGCGUAAUGAAAGUGAAAGUUGAGAUCCCUGUCGUGGGGAGCAUCGACGCCCGGACCUGACCUUCUGUGAUGGAUCUGCGGUAGAGCAUGUAUGUUGGGACCCGAAAGAUGGUGAACUAUGCCUGAAUAGGGUGAAGCCAGAGGAAACUCUGGUGGAGGCUCGUAGCGAUUCUGACGUGCAAAUCGAUCGUCAAA
rnacentral:rRNA from 1 species